rnacentral:rRNA from 1 species
AAAGAUUAAGCCAUGCAUGUCUAAGCACCUGCCUUAAUACGGUGAAGCCGCGAAUAGCUCAUUACAACAGCCACCGUUUACUAGAAUAUGGUUAUCCUACUUGGAUAACUGUGGCAAUUCUAGAGCUAAUACAUGCAAAAAAGCUCUGCCCGCAAGGAACGAGCGCAUUUAUUAGAAUAAAAACCAAUCGGGUUUCGGCCCGUAAUUUGGUGAAUCUGAAUAACUUUGCCAAUCGCACAGUCCUAGUACUGGCGAUGUAUCUUUCAAGUGUCUGCCUUAUCAACUUUCGAUGGUAGGUUAUACGCCUACCAUGGUAGUAACGGGUAACGGAGAAUAAGGGUUCGACUCCGGAGAGGGAGCCUGAGAAACGGCUACCACAUCCGAGGAAGGCAGCAGGCGCGCAAAUUACCCACUUCCAGAACGGAGAGGUAGUGACGAAAAAUAACGAGACAGUCCUCUUCGAGGUCUGUCAUCGGAAUGGGUACAAUUUAAAUCCUUUAACGAGGAUCUAUUGGAGGGCAAGUCUGGUGCCAGCAGCCGCGGUAAUUCCAGCCUCAAUAGCGUAUAUUAAAGUUGUUGCGGUUAAAACGCUCGUAGUUGGAUCUGCGGCCUCGGAGAACGGUCCCCCGAAAGGGUGGUCACUGUCUCUCCUAGCCUAAAUUCGAGUCGUCUCUAGGUGCUCUUUACCGAGUGCUUAGAGUGACUAGAACGUUUACUUUGAAAAAUUAGAGUGCUUAAAGCAGGCGAAGUAGCCUGAAUAAGGUGCAUGGAAUAAUGGAAUAGGACCUCGGUUCUUUUUUGUUGGUUUUCGGAACCCGAGGUAAUGAUUAAGAGGAACAGACGGGGGCAUUCGUAUUCCGGCGCUAGAGGUGAAAUUCUUGGACCGCCGGAAGACGGACGACUGCGAAAGC